GGCGGUAUAGCUCAGUGGUAGAGCACAUGCUUAGCAUGCAUGAGACCCUGGGUUCAAUCCCCAGUACUGCCA
rnacentral:tRNA from 2 species